GGGGACGUAACUCAACGGCAGAGUGCCGGCUUUGCAAGCCGGAAGUUGAGCGUUCAAAUCGCUUCGUCUCCA
rnacentral:tRNA from 1 species